rnacentral:rRNA from 1 species
GGAAUUUUCCGCAAUGGGCGAAAGCCUGACGGAGCAACGCCGCGUGAGGGAUGAAGGCCUCUGGGCUGUAAACCUCUUUUAUCAAGGAAGAAGAUCUGACGGUACUUGAUGAAUAAGCCACGGCUAAUUCCGUGCCUGCAGCCGCGGUAAUACGGGAGUGGCAAGCGUUAUCCGGAAUUAUUGGGCGUAAAGCGUCCGCGGGCGGUCUUUUAAGUCUGUCGUCAAAGCGUGGAGCUUAACUCCAUUUCUGCGAUGGAAACUGGGAGACUAGAGUGUGGUAGGGGCAGAGGGAAUUCCCGGUGUAGCGGUGAAAUGCGUAGAUAUCGGGAAGAACACCAGUGGCGAAGGCGCUCUGCUGGGCCAUAACUGACGCUCAUGGACGAAAGCCAGGGGAGCGAAAGGGAUUAGAUACCCCUGUAGUCCUGGCCGUAAACGAUGAACACUAGGUGUCGGGGGAAUCGACCCCCUCGGUGUCGUAGCCAACGCGUUAAGUGUUCCGCCUGGGGAGUACGCACGCAAGUGUGAAACUCAAAGGAAUUGACGG